GAUGAACGCUAGCGGCAGGCUUAACACAUGCAAGUCGAGGGGCAGCAUGAGACGGAGAUUCGUCAAAGUCUUGAUGGCGACCGGCGCAAGGGUGCGUAACGCGUGAGCAACUUGCCCGUUUCUGGGGAAUAACCGGUGGAAACGCCGACUAAUACCCCAUAGUAUAGCGAAGAGGCAUCUCUUUGUUAUUAAAGAAUUUCGGAAACGGAUAGGCUCGCGUGACAUUAGCUAGAUGGCGGGGUAACGGCCCACCAUGGCGACGAUGUCUAGGGGUUCUGAGAGGAAGGUCCCCCACACUGGAACUGAGACACGGUCCAGACUCCUACGGGAGGCAGCAGUGAGGAAUAUUGGUCAAUGGUCUGACGACUGAACCAGCCAUGCCGCGUGAAGGUGACGGCCCUAUGGGUCUUAAACUUCUUUUGUAAGGGAGCAAUAAGUCUUACGUGUAGGAUGAUGAGAGUACCUUACGAAUAAGCAUCGGCUAACUCCGUGCCAGCAGCCGCGGUAACAC
rnacentral:rRNA from 1 species